rnacentral:lncRNA from 1 species
CCACACUCCAUCAUCAACCCCACGCCCCGUCAUCAACCCCACACUCCGUCACCUGUCAUCAUCACCACACUCCAUCAUCAUCCCCACACUUCAUUACCCAUCAUCAUCCCCACACUCCAUCACCCGUCAUCAUCCCCACACUCCAUCACCCAUCAUCAACCCCACACUCCAUCACCCAUCAUCAACCCCACACUCCAUCAUCAUCCCCACACUCCAUCACCCAUCAUCAUCCCCACACUCCAUCAUCCGUCAUCAAUCCCACAUUCCAUCAUCAUCCCCACACUCCAUCACCCAUCACAUCCCCACACUCCUCUAUCACCCGUCAUCAACCCCACACUCCAUACCCAUCAUCAUCCCCACACUCCAUACCCAUCAUCAUCCCCACACUCCAUCAUCAACCCCACGCCCCGUCGUCAACCCCACACUCCAUCACCCGUCAUCAUCCCCACACUCCAUCAUCAUCCCCACACUCCAUCACCCAUCAUCAUCCCCACACUCCAUCACCAUCCCCACACUCCAUCACCAUCCCCACACUCCAUCACCCAUCAUCAUCCCCACACUCCAUCACCCGUCAUCAUCCCCACACUCCAUCAUCAUCCCCACACUCCAUCACCCAUCAUCAUCCCCACACUCCAUCACCAUCCCCACACUCCAUCACCAUCCCCACACUCCAUCACCCAUCAUCAUCCCCACACUCCAUCACCCGUCAUCAUCCCCACACUCCAUCACCCAUCAUCAUCCCCACACUCCAUCACCCAUCAUCAUCCCCACACUCCAUCACCCGUCAUCAUCCCCACACUCCAUCACCCAUCAUCAUCCCCACACUCCAUCACCCGUCGUCAACCCCACACUCCGUCACCUGUCACCAACCCCACACUCCAUCACCCAUCAUCAACCCCACACACGCCCCGUCAUCAACACAGCAGCACAGCGUUUCCUCCAGGAGAAACACCAAGAUCUCACGUCCCAUCCACAGGCUGAGGCUGCUGCUCCUGCAGG